rnacentral:rRNA from 1 species
AGAUGGCUUUAGCUAUCACUCUGGGAUGGACCUGCGGUGCAUUAGCUAGUUGGUAAGGUAACGGCUUACCAAGGCGAUGAUGCAUAGCCGAGUUGAGAGACUGAUCGGCCACAAUGGAACUGAGACACGGUCCAUACUCCUACGGGAGGCAGCAGUAGGGAAUCUUCCACAACGGGCGCAAGCCUGAUGGAGCAACACCGCGUGAGUGAAGAAGGGUUUCGGCUCGUAAAGCUCUGUUGUUGGAGAAGAACGUGCGUGAGAGUAACUGUUCACGCAGUGACGGUAUCCAACCAGAAAGUCACGGCUAACUACGUGCCAGCAGCCGCGGUAAUACGUAGGUGGCAAGCGUUAUCCGGAUUUAUUGGGCGUAAAGCGAGCGCAGGCGGUUGCUUAGGUCUGAUGUGAAAGCCUUCGGCUUAACCGAAGAAGUGCAUCGGAAACCGGGCAACUUGAGUGCAGAAGAGGACAGUGGAACUCCAUGUGUAGCGGUGGAAUGCGUAGAUAUAUGGAAGAACACCAGUGGCGAAGGCGGCUGUCUGGUCUGCAACUGACGCUGAGGCUCGAAAGCAUGGGUAGCGAACAGGAUUAGAUACCCUGGUAGUCCAUGCCGUAAACGAUGAGUGCUAGGUGUUGGAGGGUUUCCGCCCUUCA